UAAUAUCUCCAGAAUGCUCUUGGCCCCAUUUGGGCUCAGAGGUAUUUCAUAGUGGACACUUGCAGACAGCACCCAGCUGUCCAGAAAAAGAGAGAGAAAAUGAACACACUCUUGCUGCUGCCUAAUAAGUGGAGCAGUGGGAGUAACUGGGAGAGUAGGAAGUGAGGAAGGGGGUUGGGAAGAGGACAGCCACAGCAAUGCUGUCAGUGUUAUGUGAUCUCAUCUAGCUGCCCUGCUUAACUGCUGCGUAACCACAGUCUGCACAAGCUGCAGCCUCUGAACCAUCUUCAAGGGCAGCCCAACAUAGAGUGCAUUGAAUAAUCCAUUCAUAACAUUAUUACAGCAUUGAUAACUGAGGGUAGGCUAUCCCUGUCCAGGAACAGUCACAGAUGACAAACAAACUUGUUUCUACCAAGGCCACCUGUGCCUCUAGCGACAGCUUUGAAUUGAGGAUAGCCCUAAGCUAUUUAGCCGUUCCUUCAGCCCCUUCCAGAACAGGCCAUCUCCCUAAUUUCUGAACUCAAAGAGUCUCCUAUCCAUAGUGUCUCUAUCUUAUCAGAAUUCAGCCUCAGUUUAUUGGAUCACCACUGCCUCCAGGCAUCUGUCAAACACUUGCACAGACUUCCCUGAUUCAGAUGGAAUGAAGAGAUCUUAGUUGUUACCCACAUACUGAUGACACCCCACAUCUCUGGAUGACAGUUCCCUGCAGCUUCACAUAGAUGUUGAACAGCAAGAGGGGGGGAGACUAAAACUAUGUGGGACCCUGCAGCAUAAACUCCAAGGAAACCAGCAGGUGUCCCCAAAUGCUACUUUCUGCAGAUAGGAGUGGAACCACUGUAACACACAGGUGCAAACUUCCAAUCUGCAGAAACACUCCAGAAGGACACUGUUGGCAAAUACCUCCAAGAUAUAAAGAAGAAUUAACAGGGCAACAUUCCCAGAUAAAUGUAAUCAUUUAAAGCCACUAAGGCUGUUUCAGUGCAUACCCAGGCCUGAAGCCAGACUGAAAGGAGUCCAUGUAGUCCUCUUCAUCCAGACAUGUCCUGCCACAUCCAUUUCUUAGGCAAGGGUGUUUGACUGGGCAUUAGUUGUCUAAUAACUCAAGGUCCAGGGAGGGCCUUUUCAGGAGGAGUCAUGCUGACUGCUCUGAAGAACAGAGUGGUAUGAUUCUCCCCUGUAACAAGGCUUUAAUCACUCUAUGGACCCACUCAGUUCCUCUUUGCUAGAUCUUACCAGCCAUGUUGGGCAAGGGUCAAGAGAGCAUGUGGUUUGCCUAACCCCUGAAAACAUUUGGUCUACAUCCUGCUUGGCAGGGGGUUGGACUCGAUGGCCCUUGUGGUCUCUUCCAACUCUAUGAUUCUAUGAUCCUCAUGCUGCAAUAAUUGAUCCCACAAAUCUCAUUCAGACAGUUGUCUAAUUACCUCUUCAGUUCUGCAACAACCAUGGUGUCAAGUUACAUUGAACUCAAAGUGCUUCACAAAUGUAUCACAGCACCGAGUGGUGAACUGUUGCUACUUGAAGGCUAGAUUUGAGUAGUCCACUCACCACUCAAGAAAGCUCUGCUGGACAGUUCACUGUGGUGGAGAAGUACACCUUCUUUGCCUCCACCACUGCCAUAUAGUGAGUGCAAUUUGGUUGUAGGUAACCCAAUCUUUAGACAUCUACAGUACAAGCCCAUUUCAUUGCUCAUUGUCCCUAAGAAAGCCAGGAGCCUCUCAGGCUCCUUGCACUUAGAGCACACAUUUAGGAGUGAUUGUGUCAACGUCUCUACUUGUCUCAUUAUUCCACAACAUGACCAGGAGCUCACCAGGAGUGCUAGUCAUACUGGCUGGAAAAUCCCCCUUGGAUUCCAUAAAACAAGGGUGGGUGGGUAGGUAUUGAACUAUCUAUUUAUCUUCUGUAUAUCCCAACUUUUAGGAUUAAAGAAUAAAGCAAACAACAACAACAACAACAACAACAACCCAUCAAUAACAAUAAAAUAGCCCAGCAUAACAACAUCGUUUAAAUUAUUCUUUAAAUCAUGUGAAUGUAUCCGGGUUAAUAACCUUGAAUGCACAAGGAAAGUGGGCUUGCCAAAUUUCCAUGGUCAGAGGAUGUGGGAAAUAUUCUACAAUUUAGCAGCUGCUGCAGCAAAGGUCCAAGGUUUAUUUUUAUUAUAAUGAGCUUGAUCCUGGAUACUACUGCAGUUUCCACACAAUCGUUAAACGAUACAGUAUGGAUUAUCAAAAUGUUUUAAAGCAAGAUUGUCCCACCAGGGCACUUUUGGAAAUGGUGGUAUGAGGGUAAAUUCUCUAGCUUCUCUGAAAUUGUGGUACUUAGGUUGCAAUCUUUUGUAUACUUACAGUUGAACAACUCUGAGUAAGCAUGCAUAGGACAUCACUGCAUGGCACCACUGGCUUGUAGCAGCCCCAUUUUUAAUGUGCAUAUAUAUGCUUGUUGGUAUAAUAUAGCUGGAAGAGAAAAUUCCACCCAGUGCAGGUUAUGAAUUUACCCCAGAACUUUGAAUGAUGGAAGAAGCAUACAGCUGGUGGAAAUAUUCUUUCUGAUACAACUUCUAUGGGACAAGAGACAUGUAUCUUUUAUUGAUGCAUUACCUGCUUAUUUAUGUCCCAGCAGUAACUAUAAGACCUUCUGUGUUAAGCACAACUGUCCUUGGACAAAGCCAGCUGAUAAAUCAUUUUAACAGCCCUGGACUUCUCUGUCACAAUUAUUUAUGAUUAAAAGCAUUUAUAUACUUCAUUACAAACAACAGCUCAGGACGGUGUGCAACAAGAAUACCAAAACAAAAACACAAAAAUUAAAACCCAAAUUUUACAGUACAUUGAAAAUCCAUUUACAACAGUACAGCACCCUUAGUAGCAUAAACAAGUCAAUUAAAAUAUUCACAAAAAGUCUGUUAAUGAAAGUUCAACCAAGACAUGGGUAAUGAUGCUCAGAUGGCAUCUGCCUUGCUUCCUGGUGGAGGUGAUUCUAUCUAAAGGCAGGGCACCACAGUAGAAAAGGCCUGCCCCCUGGUGGCUACAGUACAUGCCUUCACAGGUGGUGAAGGAGCCUGGAAGUUUAGAUCUGCAGAGGUCAGGCCUAUGUGGAGGAAGGUAUUUUCUCAGGUAACUGGGCCUUAUAUGUUAAUAGCAACACCUUAAAUCUGGUUCAGUAGCAAAUUGGCUACCAAUGCAGCUCCUUGAACAGCAAAAAUGUAAAUGUCCACAGGCCACCUCACUCAGCAACCAAACCACCAAGUUCUGCAUCAGUUGCAGCUUCAGGGCCAACCGUAAGGAAAUCCCCUACAUACAGUACAUUGCAAUAAUCAGUCUUGAGGCUACCAAUACAUGGAUCAUUGUGGUAAGCCACAAUGUUCAGGAACAUUAUCCAGGAACAGCCAAAACUGAUGAAAGGUAUUCCUGGCUGCUAAGCUCACCAGAGCUUCCAGCAACAGUGAUGAAUGAAAGACUACCUCCAGACUGCAUAUCUGAUCCUUUAGGGAGACUACAACCCCAGCCAGAACAGGCAAACUCUGAUUCCUGAGCUUGGGAGCUGCCCACCCACAGCAUCAUUCUUGCCUGGAUUUAGCUCCAGCUUAUUGGCCCUUGUCCCUCCCAAUGCUGCUUCAAGAUCUAGGAUUUGCACAGCCACACCUGGCUCAGAUGAGACAGAGAAAUACUCCUGGUUAUAAACAGUGUGCUGAUGAUACGCUGCUCCAAAUUCCCUAAUGAUAGCUCCAGUGGCUCCAUAUAGAUGUUGAAAAAGCAUUUGGGACAAGGUGGUAUUCUGUGGGACUGCACAGAGCAAGCACCAAGGAGCCAAGAAGUAGUCACCCAAUGCUGCUUUCUGGAACUGGCCCUGCAGGUAGGGAUGGAACAAUCAUAAUGCAGUGCCUCUUGCUCUCAACCCACAGAGCCAGUCCAGGAAAUGCCAUUGUUGGUGGUAUCAAAAGCUGCUAAGGGAUCAAGAAGAAUCAACAGAUUCUUCUUCUUCUUCUACUACUACUACUAUUACUUUUACUUCUUCCAGAAUAGGAAGUUUAUGUCUCAGCCACUGUAGUAACAUGGCUACUGAAGAAGGAAAAGCAAAAUAUACCUGCUAAUGGAGGACUUUAUUCUUAUAUCCUCUUCCUUCCCAGUACCCACUUUCUUUCAGCCAACUGCAUUAGUGUGACAUGAGGUCUGACAGCUUGGGCCAGAAAAGCCUUUAGUCCCCUGGCAAUCCUUUUCAAAUGACUGUGUUGGUUCACAUUGGAAUCUCUGCCAAUGUGUUGGUUCACCUCUCCCCUUGCAUCCCUCCCCUGAUCUUCAUAGAUGGCAACAACAGCAUGUCUUAGCUAAUUUCAAUUCCCUUUAGGCAGCUCCUCUCAUCUCAAUUUGCAAUAGCGUUAUGGACUGAUUACUUUAGACCAGGCCCCAUGUGUUAACUCACCCAGCAAGAAUGAAGCGUUUUGUGCCUUUUGUUAUUGAUGUCAAAAACAAUAAGUGAGAAACAAAUGAUUAAGCAGAGGAAAGAGUGCUAAAUUGUAAUCUUGUCAAUGAAAUAAUGCAUAUAAAGAGAGAAGGAGUGCACUAAAAAUAAUAUUUAUUACGUAUAAUAAUGUGGCAGCUAUAAACUUCAGCUAAGAGUCAAAUUAUUUUUCACAACGGAUUUCUGGUAAAUGCUUGAUUUUAUUUAAAAAAUCUAAACCAUACAAAGGAUUAAAAUAUUGUAGCAUAACUGAAUAAUAUGUGUGUGUUGUAUGUGUAAGAAUCUAAAAUUAAAACAGAUAAAUUAAACCUUAGCAUUUCUGCUUUUAUGCAACCUAUUCAAUUGUGUGUCUCUAGGAAGUUCACAAGAAAUGAAAACCAAUAAAAUAAUAAUAAAAGUCCC
rnacentral:lncRNA from 1 species